GCUCCUCGGGGCUCCUCUUCUCUGCACAUCCGUCCUCCCUCCGAACAAACUGUUUCUGUUUGAGGGAAGUGGCUCGGGUCUUCUUGCGUGCUUGUUUGUGUUCAUUCAUGCGGAGCUUUCAUCGCGCCCCCAUUCAUCAGACCCCCCCCCCAUUCAUACCAAAACAAAGCUCAACCCUCCACGGGCGUCCUAUAAAUAUCCAGCACCGGCAGUGGGACCGUGGAUGCUCUGAGAGAUCUGAUGUGCUGUGGAAAGCCUGGGUGUACAUGACCGUGUGCCCCCCCCCCCCCCCCCCCCAUCAUCAUCAUUGUUCAGCCCCUCCUGGAGGUAUUGUCUCGACGGUGAAUGCAAGGAAGCCGCGUGUCGGCCGGUGAAGACGCUCUCUCUCUGCCGCGGUGGAAGUGAUUCUCCAGCCUUCGCAGGCGAGAUAAGAAAAACAGAACCGGGUGAUGGAGCGGGUGAUGGAGCAGGUGAUGGAGCGGGUGGUGCAUGAAGUACCGACGGACAUGUGAUGAAGCUUUCUGUGUCGUGUUCCCGGACGAGCAUUUAAGAUUCUCGCGAAUCACAAUUCACACACAGGAUCGUGGGAUGAGACGCUACUUGUUUGUCUUUUUUCCCGCAGGCUUUGAACGCCACCGUGUAAAAUAAAGAUGGCAGGAGCAGGAAGGCUCUUCACUCCGACUUGUUGAGUGUUGGCGACCCCGAGUAGACGCUCGCCCUCCGAGCCCACUCCGCCUCCUCCUCCUCCUCCGCCUCCUCCUCCGCCUCCUCCUCCGCCUCCUCCUCCUCCUCCUCCUCCUCCUCCUCCUCCUCCGCCUCCGCCUCCUCCUCCACUUUAGAAUAAUGUGCGCUGGAGCGCCUGAGAGGAGGCGGCUCUUUCAGUUAUUAUGAACGCCUCGCCGUCCUAACACGACUCCUCUCCCGCUCCGCCUUCUCCUCUAAAAAAAAAAGAUGAACUCGAAGCGGUUUAUUUUAUUUUUAUCGUACGUCUCCCGUCCUCUUUAAAAAAAAAGAUAAUACAGACUAAGUUAUUUCUUGGAGGCGGACCACCUUCUGGAGGAAAGCUGCUGUCGUCAUUUAUUCAUCAGGGGCUCAAAUCGAGAAGGAUUACAAAAUGGGAAAAAAAUGCAAACACAGCAGACGCACUCGGGGGGAAGUGAGGACUGGUUCUGUUGAGGGAGGAUGAUAAAGCAUUCAAACUCAAGACAAAAUUGGGCGGUGUAGAGGGACCCAGGUUGUGGUGUGAAUGAGCUCCAGUGCUGCGCGGUCCGACCGAGCAGCCGUCUCUAAAAUGGUCUCCGCCGUCGCCGCGCACCUUCUCCUCUUCCUCGUCUUCGUCAGCGGCAGGGAGGAAGAGAGAAAAGGGAAGAGAAAGCCUCAAGACAAAGCAACAGGUUAGUUUGUCCGUCAGUGAAUUGGUCUACACCUUCACAGAGCUAUAUUUUAUUUAUGAUAAUAUACUGUAUCUAAUUACACAAGGCCAUUUUAGGACCUAGGUGAAACAACUGUUUCGGGAAAACUGCUUUUAAUGCUGGCAUACUAACCAUUUGUUGUUACUUUGUAGAUAUUACAAUACAUUUGGAAAUGAUAGCAAUGUUGUUGGACUUUAAAAGCAGUGUAUAUGGUUUGGCACAGGCAUAUUUUGAGUUCUGAUAUUGGGCUUGUUUUUUGGGCUUGUUUUAUUGGCCAUUGGUCUGGUUUGGGCUGGUUUUGAUUGGCCAUUGGGCUGGUUUUGUCACACAGACCUGGCAACCCUGAUAGAGAGGGAGGGAAGGUGUGUGGCUGUUUACCUCGACUCGAGCAGAUCAUUUGAAUCUGAGGGUUGCUAUGGCAACGAUAAACCGUGAGCGCUUUGUGCCUCGGGUCCAACUCCUUUUUUCCUCAGAGUUGGAUCUGUGUGAAUAAAGCGCCCAGUUCCCACAAACCCUCUGUGUGUGUGUGUGUGUGUGUGU